CACGUAGUUAGCCGGUGCUUCUUUACCCAUUACCGUCACUCACGCUUCGUCACAGGCGAAAGCGGUUUACAACCCGAAGGCCGUCAUCCCGCACGCGGCGUUGCUGCGUCAGGCUUCCGCCCAUUGUGCAAUAUUCCCCACUGCUGCCUCCCGUAGGAGUCUGGGCCGUAUCUCAGUCCCAAUGUGGCCGGUCACCCUCUCAGGCCGGCUACCCGUCAAAGCCUUGGUAAGCCACUACCCCACCAACAAGCUGAUAAGCCGCGAGUCCAUCCCCAACCGCCGAAACUUUCCAACCCCCACCAUGCAGCAGGAGCUCCUAUCCGGUAUUAGCCCCAGUUUCCUGAAGUUAUCCCAAAGUCAAGGGCAGGUUACUCACGUGUUACUCACCCGUUCGCCACUCGAGCACCCCACAAAGCAGGGCCUUUCGUUCGACUUGCAUGUGUUAAGCACGCCGCCAGCGUUCGUCCUGAGCCAGGAUCAAACUCU
rnacentral:rRNA from 1 species